GGGGAUUUAGCUCAGCGGCAUAAGCGCCUGCCUUGCAAGCAGGCAGUCGUGAGUUCCAUCCCCA
rfam:Cavia porcellus supercont2_76 genomic scaffold, whole genome shotgun sequence.